AGACCUGUAACUCAGUUGGUAGAGUGGCUGCCUUACAAGCAGCAAGUCAUCGGUUCGAGUCCGGUCAGGUCUA
rnacentral:tRNA from 1 species